UACGUAGGGCGCAAGCGUUGUCCGGAAUUAUUGGGCGUAAAGAGCUCGUAGGUGGCUUGUCGCGUCUGCCGUGAAAGCCCAUGGCUUAACUGCGGGUCUGCAGUCGAUACGGGCAGGCUAGAGUUCGGUAGGGGAGACUGGAAUUCCUGGUGUAGCGGUGAAAUGUGCAGAUAUCAGGAGGAACACCGGUGGCGAAGGCGGGUCUCUGGGCCGAUACUGACGCUGAGGAGCGAAAGCGUGGGGAGCAAACAGG
rnacentral:rRNA from 1 species